CCUGGUUGAUCCUGCCAGUAGUCGUAUGCUUGUCUCAAAGAUUAAGCCAUGCAUGUCUAAGUAUGAACUAAUUCAGACUGGGAAACUGCAAAUGGCUCAUUAAAUCAAUUAUUGUUUUUUUUAUGGUACCAUACUACUCGGAUAACCAUAGUAAUUCUAGAGCUAAUACGUGCACCAAGUUCAAGCUCUUUGGAAGGGAUGCAUUUUUUAGAUAAAAGGCUAGUGCGGGCUUGCCCGCUUCUCCGGUGAAUCAUGAUAACUCGACGGAUCACACAGCCCUUAUGCUGGCGAUGCUUCAUUCAAAUUUCUGCCCUAUCAACUUUCGAUGGUAGGAUAGAGGCCUACCAUGGUGGUGAUGGGUGAUGGAGAAUUAGGGUUUGAUUUUGGAGAGGGAGCCUGAGAAACAACUACCACAUCCAAGGAAGGCAACAGGCGUGCAAAUUUCCUAAUCUUGACAUGGGGAGGUAAUGACAAUAAAUAACAAUACUGGGCUCAUCGACCUUGGUAAUUGGAAUGAGUACAAUCUAAAUCCCUUAACGAGGAUCAAUUGGAGGGAAAGUCUGGUGCCAGAAACCAUGGUAAUUCCAGCUCCAAUAGCGUAUAUUUAAUUUGUUGCAGUUAAAAAUCUCGUAGUUGGAUCUUGGGUCGUAAAGGUAAGUCCGCCUACUCGGUGUGCACCCGCCCUUCCGUCCCUUUUGUCAGUGGCAUGCUCCUGGCCUUAAUUGGCUGGGUCGUGACUCUGACGCUAUUACUUUGAAAAAAUUAGAGUGCUCAAAGCAAGCUUAUGCUCUGAAUACAUUAACAUGGAAUAACGUGAUAUGAGUCUGGUUCUAUUGUGUUGGCCUUCAGGAUCAGAGUAAUGAUUAAUAGGGACUGUCGGGGGCAUUCAUAUUUCAUUGUCAGAGGUGAAAUUCUUGGAUUUAUGAAAGUUGGACCACUGUGAAAGAAUUUGCCAAGGAUGUUUUCAUUAAUAAAGAACAAAAUUUGGGGGCUCGAAGACGAUCAGAUACCAUCCUAGUCUCAACCAUAAACGAUGCUCACCAGGGAUCGGCGGAUGUUGCUCUAAGGACUUUGCGAGCACCUUCUGAGAAAUUAGAGUGUUUGGGUUCCAAGGGGAGUAUGGUCACAAGGCUGAAACUUAAAGGAAUUGAAGGAAGGGUACCAAUAGGAGUGGAGCCUGUGGCUUAAUUUGACUCAACACGAGGAAACUUACCAGGUCCAGACAUAGUAAGGAUUGACAUAUUGAGAGCUCUUUCUUGAUUCUAUGGGUGGUGGUGCAUGGUCCUUCUUAGUUGGUGGAGCGAUUUGUUUGGUUAAUUCCAAUAAAAAACAAGACCUCAGCCUACUAACUAACUACAUGGAGGUUCCCCUUCACGGCUAGCUUCUUAUAGGGACUAUGGAUAUUUAGGCCAUGGAAGUUUGAGGCAAUAAUAGGUCUGUGAUGCCCUUAGAUGUUUUUGGCUGCACGCGCGCUACACUGAUGCAGCCAACGAGCUUUUCUUUCUGGUUCGAGAGGAUCAGGAAAUCUUCUGAAAUUGCAUCAUGAUGGGGAUAAACCAUUGCAAUUAUUGGUCUUCAUUGAGGAAUUCCUAGUAAGCGCGUGUCACCAACUAGUGUUGACUAUGUCCCUUCCCUUUGUACACACCACCCAUCGCUCCUACCAAUUGAAUGAUCUCGUGAAGUGUUCGAAUUGUGUUGAUGAUGGUGGUUCGCUACUAUCAAUGUCAUGAGAAGUUCAUUGAACCUUAUCAUUUAGAGGAAGGAGAAGUCGUAACAAGGUUACUGUAGGUGAACCUACGGUAG
rnacentral:rRNA from 1 species